rnacentral:rRNA from 1 species
AUCCUUUGCUGAGGAUACGGUUAACGGAGCGAAAGCGACGUUCAACCUCAAAAGAAGCAGAGGGGGCUUAGUGGUGGGGUGACUGCGUACCUUUUGUAUAAUGGGUCAGCGACUUAUAUUCUGUAGCAAGGUUAACCGAAUAGGGGAGCCGGAGGGAAACCGAGUCUUAACCGGGCGUUAAGUUGCAGGGUAUAGACCCGAAACCCGGUGAUCUAGCCAUGGGCAGGUUGAAGGUUGGGUAACACUAACUGGAGGACCGAACCGACUAAUGUUGAAAAAUUAGCGGAUGACCUGUGGCUGGGGGUGAAAGGCCAAUCAAACCGGGAGAUAGCUGGUUCUCCCCGAAAGCUAUUUAGGUAGCGCCUCGUGAAUUCAUCUCCGGGGGUAGAGCACUGUUUCGGCUAGGGGGCCAUCCCGGCUUACCAACCCGAUGCAAACUGCGAAUACCGGAGAAUGUUAUCACGGGAGACACACGGCGGGUGCUAACGUCCGUCGUGAAGAGGGAAACAACCCAGACCGCCAGCUAAGGUCCCAAAGUCAUGGUUAAGUGGGAAACGAUGUGGGAAGGCCCAGACAGCCAGGAUGUUGGCUUAGAAGCAGCCAUCAUUUAAAGAAAGCGUAAUAGCUCACUGGUCGAGUCGGCCUGCGCGGAAGAUGUAACGGGGCUAAACCAUGCACCGAAGCUGCGGCAGCGACGCUGAUGCGUUGUUGGGUAGGGGAGCGUUCUGUAAGCCUGCGAAGGUGGCCUGUGAGGGUUGCUGGAGGUAUCAGAAGUGCGAAUGCUGACAUAAGUAACGAUAAAGCGGGUGAAAAGCCCGCUCGCCGGAAGACCAAGGGUUCCUGUCCAACGUUAAUCGGGGCAGGGUGAGUCGACCCCUAAGGCGAGGCCGAAAGGCGUAGUCGAUGGGAAACGGGUUAAUAUUCCCGUACUUGGUGUUACUGCGAAGGGGGGACGGAGAAGGCUAUGUUGGCCGGGCGACGGUUGUCCCGGUUUAAGCGUGUAGGUGUGUGUUCCAGGUAAAUCCGGUUCACUUUAACACUGAGGCGUGAUGACGAGGCACUACGGUGCUGAAGCAACAAAUGCCCUGCUUCCAGGAAAAGCCUCUAAGCAUCAGGUAACAUCAAAUCGUACCCCAAACCGACACAGGUGGUCAGGUAGAGAAUACCAAGGCGCUUGAGAGAACUCGGGUGAAGGAACUAGGCAAAAUGGUGCCGUAACUUCGGGAGAAGGCACGCUGACACGUAGGUGAAGUGAUUUACUCAUGGAGCUGAAGUCAGUCGAAGAUACCAGCUGGCUGCAACUGUUUAUUAAAAACACAGCACUGUGCAAACACGAAAGUGGACGUAUACGGUGUGACGCCUGCCCGGUGCCGGAAGGUUAAUUGAUGGGGUCAGCGCAAGCGAAGCUCCUGAUCGAAGCCCCGGUAAACGGCGGCCGUAACUAUAACGGUCCUAAGGUAGCGAAAUUCCUUGUCGGGUAAGUUCCGACCUGCACGAAUGGCGUAAUGAUGGCCAGGCUGUCUCCACCCGAGACUCAGUGAAAUUGAACUCGCUGUGAAGAUGCAGUGUACCCGCGGCAAGACGGAAAGACCCCGUGAACCUUUACUAUAGCUUGACACUGAACAUUGAGCCUUGAUGUGUAGGAUAGGUGGGAGGCUUUGAAGUGUGGACGCCAGUCUGCAUGGAGCCGGCCUUGAAAUACCACCCUUUAAUGUUUGAUGUUCUAACGUGGACCCGUGAUCCGGGUUGCGGACAGUGUCUGGUGGGUAGUUUGACUGGGGCGGUCUCCUCCUAAAGAGUAACGGAGGAGCACGAAGGUUGGCUAAUCCUGGUCGGACAUCAGGAGGUUAGUGCAAUGGCAUAAGCCAGCUUGACUGCGAGCGUGACGGCGCGAGCAGGUGCGAAAGCAGGUCAUAGUGAUCCGGUGGUUCUGAAUGGAAGGGCCAUCGCUCAACGGAUAAAAGGUACUCCGGGGAUAACAGGCUGAUACCGCCCAAGAGUUCAUAUCGACGGCGGUGUUUGGCACCUCGAUGUCGGCUCAUCACAUCCUGGGGCUGAAGUAGGUCCCAAGGGUAUGGCUGUUCGCCAUUUAAAGUGGUACGCGAGCUGGGUUUAGAACGUCGUGAGACAGUUCGGUCCCUAUCUGCCGUGGGCGCUGGAGAACUGAGGGGGGCUGCUCCUAGUACGAGAGGACCGGAGUGGACGCAUCACUGGUGUUCGGGUUGUCAUGCCAAUGGCACUGCCCGGUAGCUAAAUGCGGAAGAGAUAAGUGCUGAA